rnacentral:hammerhead_ribozyme from 1 species
AUCCGUCUGAUGAGUGCCAAAAAAGACGAAGCGCGCGUCUUGGAU